CCCACAUCUUUUUCUUCUUUCCCUCCUACCCUAAUUAUCGAUGCUCCUUCCUUUCCCUCUUGUCUCUCUCGGUCGCUACCUAGGGUUUUUAUUUAAAGCUUGAAUCGAUCGACUGAGGUAACCAAAGGUCAAGCGAACUGGGAAAUGGUUUUCAGUGAAAUCUACUGUUACUCUUUGAAAUCGGAUCCAAUAUUACCUUCUCCCCAUCCUUCUUGUCUCUAUCGGUUGCUACCUAGGGUUUUUCGUGAAAGUUUGAAUCGAUCGACUAGGGUAACUAAACGGUAAGUGAACCGGGAAAGGGAAGCAAUAAAUCCAACACUCACUCUCAAAUCGAUUCUACUGGACAAGGUUUCAAUUUGGGGCUCUCUACAUUCUCAUCUAUUGUACUUUCAUUCAAGAUUACAUCGGUUUUUUUGGUAUCCAGUAACCGAAGCAUACAUUCUCAUCGAUUCCACUUUUGUUUAUCUAAACAAAAAUAUCGCAUAUUCUGUAAAAGCCCUAAACCAGCCACCGUUGGUUAUCACCUCCACCAUCGUUGAUGUCGCCCUACUUCCCAGAUGGUCUGUGUGUGUGCGGUAAGACUGAACAGAAAAUGGGAAAGAAAAGAAAAAACGAGCAGAAAGAGAGAGAAUAAAGUUUAAGGUUGAGGGGAGGAUUCAUCGGAGCUUUGUUCUAGAUGGUAUGGGUUCACCCUGAAAUGGUUUAAAGAAGUGUACGGUCAUCUCUGAAGAUCACAAUCAUCCAUACCUUAUUUUGAAUUUCGCUCGCUCUCUUUCUCUCUCUAAACAUUUCCUCUCUUCUUUCUUUCUAAAACCCUAGCCUAUCAUCAUUGCAGAGGAAUUUGCAUGUUGUUUUCCACCAUCUGUGCUAGACCAGACCGGUGUUCACUUGACCAAGCUUUGAAUUGGAAAAAUAGUGAUGUGGUAUUCAUGGUGCAUGUGUUCUUGACAAAAGUUGCGAAAUUAUUAAGGAACUGCGAGGAAUCAUGUUGGUUGUUACACAAUUAUCCUCUUACUUUUAUCAAAAGGAGGAAGCCAAUAGUUCCUCCUCCAGAUAUAGUAAUAGAAGGGCUUGAAAAUGGAAGUUUCUUAUUUGAUGAACCCCUUAAGAAUUUCGAGGUCACUACAACAUAUUUAUUGGUGAUCUGAGCCCUGAAGUCAUUGAUGCUAUGCUGUUUGCAUGGUUCUCUGUUUAUGCUAGUUGUUUGGAUACGAGGGUUAUGUGGGAUCAAAAAACGGGUCGUUCACGAGGUUUUGGGUUUGUUUCCUUUUGGAACCAACAGGUUUAUAUUUAAAAUUAUAAAUUCAGAAUAUUUAGGUUUGUAAUCUUAUCAGGGAAAUGGCUUGGUUAUGGGUUUCAUAUAUAGGCUUAGCCCUUAGCAGUUAGCAUAUACCCUUCACAAUGGUAACAUGGAAUUUGCAAAGGUUAUCCUGAAGAAGGGGAAAACACAACUGUUUCGUGAUGGAAGCCCAAUGGUUAACGGGACACAAAAUCCAAUCAGUUGGGGCUUGCACAACUCGCGCUCUAUGUUAUGUAUGAGGCUCAUGCAGCUAGAGGAGGAAGUAUCAGGAUCCUUCUUGUGCAUUGGAUGUGGAAAAGGUGCUUGAAACAAGAAUAGAUGCAACCAUCAGAUUACGUAAAAGCUUAGGGCUCCCUUCUGCCAAUACAAAUGCAUAUCGUCUUGUGAAUAGUGAAGGAAAUAGCUGCAUGGGUUGAGAAGUACAAGCAACAUAUUAAGAAGAUGGUGGCUGGCUGUCUACAAAUUUUUUUUUGAUACAGUCAACCAAAAAUGGCAUGCCAAUCUCAAAUUCGUCAGUCUUUUUGUUCCGGUGGGGUGGAUGGAGACGGCAUAAGAGAUUGAUGACCUUUUUGUAGGAGAUGCUGAGGUAUGGAGAAGAGCAUGUAUAGGGAGAGGGCAUGCGGGUCCCACGGGGGGUGACUUUCCAGUAGUGACAAGAGAAGGACAUAAUGUUCUUGAUGUCAUAUUUACAUCCCCUAUACCCAACCUUGUUGAUGUGACAGGGUUGGCUUUUCAAAUAUCUGAUGCACCAUCUUCAUUUUCUGAUAUAUUUGCAAGCUUGUGUUUUCGAGCUCAAUGAAUAUUGUUACACAAUGUGAGUGGUUGGUUUGGCAAGGUUCCUCUAGAAGCUUCUGGAGAUUUCAGAAUUGAACCAGAGGAAGGAGAAUAUCACCUUAUGUGUCAGGUUCCUUCUGUGGAAAUAAAUGCCCGUUGGCAGGAUCAGUGAUAGUUGUUUUCAACCGUCAAGGCCCUUUGGAUGCUCCAGUAUUUGUGGGAAGUGGGCUGUUUCAAGAAAGUUAUCUACGAGGCAAUCAUGAAGAAUAAAGAGGCUGGUGCAGUGGCAACAUUUGACAGGGUUCCAUUCUCUUAUAUAUCGGCCAAUUUUACUUUCAAUACUGAUAAUUGUGUUGCAAAUUUAUAUGGAAUUAGAGCAAAUCUUGUAGAUGGUGGCGAGAUUCGUGGGGCAGGAAAUGCAUGGAUUUGUACAGAGGGAGCAAGCAUAGCUACUGUUUGAGUGGUAAAACUGGAGCGGGAGCGGGAAUCAAUCUUUCAUCUUUGUUAAUUGUGGAUGGGAGAGUGUGUUGGGAUUUAUAUAUUGAUGGUUUUCUGAUAAAUAUAGAUGGGAAUAUACUUGAUGCCUUAGGUGCUGCUAUCAAGGCUGCUUUUGAUAUGCAGUUGCUGUCAUAGCUGCUUCAACUGCUCCUUUUGACAAACAACCUGAAGUUGAUGUUAGUGAUGAAGAGUUUCUACAAUUUGACACAACUGCAAUUCCUGUCAUAGUUACUUUAAACAAGGGUGCUGCAAAUAUAAAAGUGGCAGGAACAGAUAUGAACAGCAAGCAGCCGGUCACAUAGUGUUUUCACCUGCUGGUUCUCAAAGAGGUCAAGUAUUUCUAUCAACCAAUUAAAAUUUCGUUCACCAAUGGCGUAAUUAAGAUUACAAACACCAAUUUCUUUCAAACAAGAGAAGAUCUAGAGUUUAAUUGGGUGAUUGAAGGUGAUGGAUGUAAACUUGAUUCUGGAACUCUCAGUCUACCAACAUUAGAGUUUAAUUGUGUGAUUGAAGGUGAUUUUGGUUCUUGAAACGAGACUCAAAAUAUCAUAUUUUGGCAUGGCUAGAAGCUCUGGAGGAAACGAGACUCAAGCAAAAAUAAACACAGAGAGAGUUUUUGGCACAUAGUAAGCUAGAUGAUGCAAUUGCAUAUAAAUGAGUUCAUUUUUUUAUAACAUUUAAUCACUUUUGGAAUAAUUAUUUGUAUCUGACAUAUUAGUGAAAUGAAUUAUCUUUUUUAUUUA